UACAGAGGUCUCAAGCGUUGUUCGGAUUCAUUGGGCGUAAAGAGUGUGUAGGCGGCGCUCUAAGUUCGGUGUGAAAUCUCUCGGCUUAACUGGGAGGGUGCGCCGGAAACUGGAGUGCUCGAACGUGGGAGAGGAAAGCGGAAUUCCUGGUGUAGCGGUGAAAUGCGUAGAUAUCAAGAGGAACACCUGAGGUGAAGACGGGUUGCUGGGCCAACACUGACGCUGAUGCGCGAAAGCCAGGGGAGCAAACGGG
rnacentral:rRNA from 1 species